CGCCGCUGGGUGGGAAUAACCGCUGGGCUCGGAGGGGUGGGCGCUGCCGGCGAGGAGCUGGUGGAGAUGCAGGCAGCGCCCGAGCCGGGCAGCGCCGCUCCGUGCUCCUGGGAACCGGAGGGGGAGAGGGGGAAGGGGCUGGUGCGGUGGAAUAUCAUUAUCCGCUCUAGAAGUGGGUCAGGGCGCAGGCAUUGGCAUCGCUGCUCUGGGGAGACAAAACGAGAGCAAAAGAAUAAAAAUAAGAAAUAAAAAUGAAGAAAAAAAGAAUACGUAACAACAGUCAACAAAACCCCAAAGCAUCCAAAUGAGAAGUGUAAAAUUAAGGGCUACAGACACCACGUCCCACGGCCGGGACACCUCGGAACAGCGCUUGGGGCUUUGGCAGCACGAGGGCACAGCCGAUCCCCCACCUCACCGCAGGCAGUGUGAGCAGCGCUGUGUUAGCGGUGCCGUUCCCGUCGGGGUGGUGGGAACAGCUCUGCACAGAUGUGAGAUGACAUUUAAUGGUGGGCAGCUUCAGCGCGGCAGCACCCAGUGCCUUACAGGUGGCUGUGCUGCUCUGCCCUCCUUCCCCAGGUAUGGCCUCUCCUUCCAGGAGAACAUAAAACUUUCAGUGCCCCUGCUCUAGCUGGGGAGGGCAGAGCUCUCUCGCCGUGAAGCAAAUUGGCAAAUUCAGAGUGAAAGACUGCAGGAGAAAUUGCCGAGACGUUCAAGCAUUGUGUCUGGAAAGCAGGCGGUGGACGUGUCUCCCAUGCAAGGUCAGCAUCUUUCAGGAUGUGCAGAGCUGACAUACAAUAGAGGUUGGUUCAUUAGGAGGAUUAGCUCUGAAUGACAGCUCUUGUCCAACGGACUCCUGGUAUCAUGGCCAGAGACAAGUUCCAUGUGCUGAUAUCCCCCAGCAAAAGACUAUUUUAGAAUUGUCCUAAAGGAAAACGUUGUUACAGAUUGUAGUCAGCUGAUUUUCCUGUUGCUGAAAGAACCCAGAUGCCAGGAAGCUACUGCAGUAACUUCAGUGCAAACGUGCUCAAACACAGACAGACGCAUGCAUGCCAAAGCAUUAAUACCAGUGGGUAAUCUUCUCGAGAUUCACUUCAGCUCCAGCACCGUUCUGCAACUGGCUUAGAUUCUCAGUAGCAAUAGGAAUUGUACAAUAUUGCACUGAUAUUAUUGGAAUACAUAGUAUAAAAUACACAGUACUCAACUUCCAAAGCGUUGUAUGGAGUAAUAUGAGUUCUUUCGUUAAAGGUCACAGGUGGGAAAGAAGGAAUAUUCAGUCACUCUGGAGAUGGAUUUUCACCACCACAGCUAAACACAGGUAUUUUAUUACAGACCAGUGCAGGGUGAGAUAUGGCCAUUUGGUGCUGUCAAUGCCCACAGGACAAUGGAAGCACAUGGCUGCCAGGAUGCCUCUCCACAUGGCUUUCUGCAGGCUGGGAGGUGGACAUGACUUGCUUGUGAGUACCUGUGAGCCUGCAGAGCUAUCAGCCUCCCUCCAUCCUGUGGGGAUCACUUUCUGUCUCCAGAUUUCAGAUGUUCUCAAAGCUUUGUGACCAGCUGACAAGGCUAAAGGAUCACCUCCAGCAGCUGCUGAUGCAGUUACCUACACAGGGUGGCACUGGAAAAGCUUUGGGUAGGUAACCUACAACGUGACACAAUAGCAAGUAGACAUGAAAAAAGCUUGAGGUUACCAUUUCAGAUUUCCAUUUCUUCAAAACUUUUUACAUUGCUGGAGAAACCCAUGUGUAAAUUCCAAACAUUAAAAAAUAUGCGUGCAAAAGCUGAAUGUUGUCCUGGAGAUAGUUAUGACAGCCAUCAUAAGGAAUAUUAUCAUCCUAAGUGAGAACAUGAGAACCUAAUGAGGUUUAACAAGGCCAAGGUGUUGCACUUGGGUUGUGGCAAUCCCAGAUAUGACUAUGGACUGGGAGAAGAACUCCUUGAGAGCAGCCCUGCAGAGAAGGACUUGGGAGUCCUGGUGGAUAAAAAGCUGGACAUGAGCCAGCAGUGUGCUCUUAAGCCUGGAAAGCCAACUGUGUUUGGACCUGGAGCCUCUGCACAAGAAAGACAUGGAGCUCUUGGAGCAGGUCCAGAGGAGGACAGGAAGAUGAUCAGAGGGCUGGAGCAUGUCUCCCACAGAGGAAGACUGAGGGAGCUGGGCUUCUUCAGCCUGGAGGAGGCUCUGGGGAGACUUCAUUGCAGCCUUCCAGUACUUGAAGGGAACUUACAAGCAGGAGGGGGAUUGACUUUUUAUGUGGCCUGAUAAUGACAGGACAAGGGGGAACAGACUAAAACUAGAAGAGGAGAUUUAGAUUAAGAAGAAAUUAGGUUAAGAAGAAAUUUUUUACUCAGAGGGUGGUGAAGAGCUCAAAUAAAUUGGCCAGAGAAGCUGUGGAUGCCCCAUCCUUGGAGGCAUCCAAGUCCAGGUUGGAUGGGGCCCUGGGCAGCCUGAGCUGGUGGGUGGCAGCCCUGACUAUGGCUGGACGGCUGGGACUAGAUGAUCUAUAAGGUCCCUUCCAACCCAAGGCAUUCAAUGAUUCUAUACACCCAUGAUAAAUGGCACAACAAAACCUGAUUUCAUUAAGCAGUUUUUAAAUUUCAAAUGUGUCAGAACUUUCUGGUCAGAAUACUGUUUUUACCAUGGGUAUCUAAUGUUAAGUAAGCGGCCCUUUAUAUAGAGAGUAAUAUUAGCAUAGGAUCUCAAAACUUUUUUUUUCUUUUUUUCUUUUUCUUUUUCUGGUAAUAAGAUACAAAAUGCAAAGUAAAAGCAGUAUUUUUGUGUACCUCAGUUUUGUUUGACACAUUAGCAGAGUUUCAAGAUCAUUAAACAGUCAGUAACAAACAUAUAAGGACUACUUCUGGUAUUUUAAGAAAGGUCCAUUUCUCUGUAAUGCUGUCUUAUUUUCACUUUGGAGAUUGGUCUGAGGCGUUACUCUCCCAAUUUGACUGCUUCUAAGAACACAGAAAAAGAAGAAAAAUGGUGACACAACCACGGAUGUGCCCCCUUACCAAACACAUGAAACUGAAUUGCCUUUCAAAGUUAAGCCCCGGAGCAGUAGAUGGUGUAUAGCUUUCUCUCAGAAAGAGAUCAGAGAGAGAGUUUGAUAGCAGCCAGGUGCCAUCAGGUGCUGGGAAGAACCAGGAGAGAGGCAGUCUGUUCAGACAAUGUAGUUUUAUUUGUUCUUAGUAAGAACCACC
ensembl:lncRNA